ACUCCCAAACCCCUGUGAACAUACCACUUGUUGCCUCGGCGGAUCAGCCCGCUCCCGGUAAAACGGGACGGCCCGCCAGAGGACCCCUAAACUCUGUUUCUAUAUGUAACUUCUGAGUAAAACCAUAAAUAAAUCAAAACUUUCAACAACGGAUCUCUUGGUUCUGGCAUCGAUGAAGAACGCAGCAAAAUGCGAUAAGUAAUGUGAAUUGCAGAAUUCAGUGAAUCAUCGAAUCUUUGAACGCACAUUGCGCCCGCCAGUAUUCUGGCGGGCAUGCCUGUUCGAGCGUCAUUUCAACCCUCAAGCACAGCUUGGUGUUGGGACUCGCGUUAAUUCGCGUUCCUCAAAUUGAUUGGCGGUCACGUCGAGCUUCCAUAGCGUAGUAGUAAAACCCUCGUUACUGGUAAUCGUCGCGGCCACGCCGUUAAACCCCAACUUCUGAAUGUUGACCUCGGAUCAGGUAGGAAUACCCGCUGAACUUAAGCAUAUCAAUAAGCGGAGG
rnacentral:rRNA from 1 species